rnacentral:tRNA from 1 species
GAGGGUACAGCUCAAGUGGUAGAGUGCAUGCUUAGCAUGUGCAAGGUCCUAGGUUCAAUUCCCAGUACCUCCU